UUCUUUAAUUGAGGACUGGAAUGAAGGGUAGAUACUAAAAGGAAAGUUUUAUUAGAUAAUUUUGAAUUUAGAUUAAAAGUAAAAAUUCUUUUAUUAAUCUUUGGGACGAGAAGACCCUAGAAGCUUAAAACUUCUGAAAGUUUUUAAUUGGGGCAAUUAUUAAAGAUAUAAAUUUUUAAUUAUUAUAUUUAAGGUUUAAUAGUUACUCUAGGGUUAACAGCGUUAUUUAAUUAGCAAGUUCUUAUUAAUAAUUAGGUUUGCGACCUCGAUGUUGAAUUAAAUUGUAUUUUAGGUGUAGAAGCUUAAAGGAUAGGUCUGUUCGACUAUUAAUAAUUUACGUGAUCUGAGUUCAGACCGGA
rnacentral:rRNA from 1 species